rnacentral:pre_miRNA from 1 species
AAUAUACUCCCUCCGUCCGGAAAUACUUGUCAUCAAAAUGAAUAAAAUGGGAUGUAUCUAGAUGUAUUUUAGUUUUAGAUACAUCCCUUUUUGUCCAUUUUGAUGACAAGUAUUUUCGGACAGAGGGAGUACAUU